UUGACCUCAGAUCAGGUA
rnacentral:rRNA from 2 species